CAGCAGCCGCGGUAAUACGUAGGGGGCGAGCGUUGUCCGGAAUUAUUGGGCGUAAAGCGCGCGCAGGCGGUCCUUUAAGUCUGAUGUGAAAGCCCACGGCUCAACCGUGGAGGGUCAUUGGAAACUGGGGGACUUGAGUGCAGGAGAGGAGAGCGGAAUUCCACGUGUAGCGGUGAAAUGCGUAGGGAUGUGGAGGAACACCAGUGGCGAAGGCGGCUCUCUGGCCUGUAACUGACGCUGAGGCGCGAAAGCGUGGGGAGCAAACAGGAUUAGAUACCCUGGUAGUCCACGCCGUAAACGAUGAGUGCUAAGUGUUAGAGGGGUCACACCCUUUAGUGCUGCAGCUAACGCGAUAAGCACUCCGCCUGGGGAGUACGGCCGCAAGGCUGAAACUUAAAGGAAUUGGCGGG
rnacentral:rRNA from 1 species